CAGGUCUGCAGAGAACCAUCCCUGAAUGUACAUGUCAAGUCUUGAAGCAGAUGGAUCACAGCGGUGCCACUCCUGCCACUUUAGUCCGUGUCCUGUGUGCCUAAUAAAGUGGCCGGCGAGGGGGGUGUCAAACUCAAUAACAGAGGGUCCAAGUCAAGAGCCAGGCAGGGAAGGUCUCGUCCUGCAUAGCGACGGUGCUGUUGGAUCCCAGGACAGUGAUUCCCAGCUCCCGCUGUCUGUCCAGAGUC